UUCAUCGACACCACAAACUGCCGGUCUCCACAUUACGGGGAAUAAAUAACACAAAGAACUAAGUUAAUAUUAUGCGGCAGUACGAUUAUUUGCCACAAGAGGGAACUAUAGCAUUAUUGUAAAUUGCAGUACUUUUGUGGAUAAUCUGAUACAGGGACGUAAUACCCGGGGGCAGAUCUUCCGAUUAAGUUUGAAAACUCUACUUCAAAAAUACGAUCUCCUGGAAGAGGAGUCCUGAGUCGGCAGUCUUCUCAGCUGAAGCUGUCAACGCAGUUCGUUCCAGCAACGAAUUGAAUCGGCAUUUUAACUGGGACCUUUUUUUUUUCGUAACAAUUCGAACUCUAUUCCAGGACUUAAUGGUCUAGAAACCACUUCGGUACCGAGGGAAGUUUAAAGAAUCGAUGGAAAAACAAGUUUUCAAGCUGGCAGGAGCUCUAGAGGACAUGAGAAGGUAUUCCAGUAUUGUCGCUUUCACAAGUUGUGAAUCAGAUUUCAAAAGACAGCUGAAUGGAGAGUUGCAUUACUGUUGAUUGAAGAAAAGCACAAAAGGACAACAGACUUCAUUCUUAGUUGCACAUUGAAGUUGAUUUGUGUAAUAGCUGCCAGACCAGCUAGAAUGGGAGUAUAGAUUCAUGUAAUCUUUCAGGUUUCCAUCAUGUCACCUUUGGUUCCUCAAUAUAUUUUAACUGUUUCCAGUUUGAAGUGAACAUUGAUUUUAAUUUGUUUUUGUGCUGAAUUUAUUUUGGAAAUUGUACUAAAUUUGCAACCGUUGAUGUGUUCAUGUUUUGGAGUGUAUAAAGAAGAAUUUAUAAGUUGCUUGUAAAAUUUACACAAAAUACCAGAGAUCUUUGAAAAGUAUGUGACCAUGUGUUUUGUCUAAUUGAUUCUCAGAUUUGAUUUCAUGAAACAUUUGCCUGAUCUGAUGGGUGACAACAAUGCAAAACACAAUAUUACUUUUCACUAGUGGUUGUUCUGCUGCCUCAAACAAUCCAUAUUUAAUUUAAUACUGUUGGUCAAGAUAAAUGCUAUUGAGCAGUGUUUUAUUCUGCCAUAAAUCAAUCUGUUUUAGUAAUGGUUGACUUCUUAAAAACAACCAAGUAGUAAGUUAGGUGGUAUUACAAUCCAAGUCCAGACUGUUCAAUUUAUACCAAGCACACUGAGAGGUCAGAAGACUUAUUAAAAGAUUAAAGCCACAGAUGCCACUGUUUUGAACAAGUACCAAUGAAGUUUACAAAUUAGAACAGAAAUGUAACCUACGUGUGUGCAGCUGGCUUCCUAACACCUAAAACUAACUUAGUAAAAGUGGGUAGUAAGUUGUGGUUGAACACUACAAAGCGCACAUCAAAUAGCAGAUAUGAUCAAGACAGUUCCCAAGAUCUCUCAGCAAUUCUUCCCUCACCCCAAUUAAUGACAGUAGAUCAUUAAAUCUCAUGAUGCUUCAGGGCUUACAAUUCUUCACUUUUGCAGAAAUUCCCACUCAAAUGGCUCAAUCAUGAAAUGUCCUCAGAACUGAUCUGUUCUAGACGGUUGUUCUCCUUUCCUCUAAGUAUAAUAAUUUCUGAGCAUAAAUACGGAUUUGAUUGAAAAGCAUAUAUAGUUAACUAGGUUGGAUACACAAGCUUAAAAAGAAAGUUUCAUACAGAAGUUGAGCAUAAAAGUGUCAUCACAGCUAGCAAAAAAUGGAGAUACUAAAAGGUAUCUAACAGAUACUAACAGGCAUAAUGCACGUGCUGUUUAUUAUAUAAUCACAUCCAACAAACAGGCAUAAACAAUAGAUUAAUUUUUUUUCAAAAAGGCGUAGAAAGAUGCAUAGCAACAUCAAACGUGGACAUGAAGUUAUUUACAGAAGAAGAAAAUAAACCAGGAUAAUGCAAUGCCCAUAAAAACCAGGAAAUGAAACCUCGUCAUUGCUAAAUCUCUAAUGAGGGAUCAUUUUAAGAUUAAAAGAAUAAAGAAAUGAUGAAAGGAGUAUAAAUAUCAAAGUUUGUGCGAAG